UUACAUCAGUAGUAUUCAUGCUAAAACUGGAACGAUACAGAGAACAUCAGUGUGGCUCCUGCGUAAAGGUGACACGCGAAAUCGUGAAGCUUUUCAAAUUUUU